GCAAGGCCAGAAUUUCUUAGUGAAGAAGAUAUCUUCAUCUGUGUCGUCUUCCAAUCAAACACAGAUAUAUUUGGUCGCCCUCAUCGAAUACAUGUAUCUUUGCAUAUUUAGUCAUCUUGUGUGCCGUGUGGAAUGUACGUACUAAAGAUGUUGAAAAUUCACACACACAAGAAAACGUAGAAAUAUUACACCAAGGCAUAUGCAUAUUUGCUGGAAAAAAAAAAAAAAGCAUAUUAACUCAAGGUUGAUUGGAACAAGCUCUGAUACCACUAUUAGUUUAAGGAAAAAGAGGUUUGAGGAAUGAUUGAUGGUGUUUAGGACAAUAAUUUAACUUGGAAUGGAAAACUUUUGAAAGAGUGACAGAGUAGUUUUAUAUUCUAUUGAUUGAAGUCAAUACACGGCUUUAAUACUGAGUUGACUGAUUGCUUGAGUUGGACAACUGUAGUUUCCACCUUACAUUUUUGAAUAGGCAUCAAGCCUAUAAAUAGGAGAGACUUAAAUCGACAUAUGCUUAG
rnacentral:lncRNA from 1 species